rnacentral:lncRNA from 1 species
GUGCGAAGAUUGCAUAUCAUACCAAAUAAUGAAACCAACUUCUUUAAAAAUAUUAUCUCCGUAUCUGCGUUUACAUCAGGGAAAAAACUUUUCAGUAACAAUUUAUGGAAAAGAUCAGCGUCUUUAUGUGGAAUCAAGACUCUCAUAAUAUACUCAAUAGUAUACGGUCAUAUAUCAUUUUAUUGUUUAGAAAUGUUUACCAUUUCGGGUAAGUAUAUAUUUAUUUAUUUUUAUCUUUUACUCUAUUUUUCACCGAUGAAUACUAACGCUAGGUUGACACGACAUGGUACACUCGGAUCGACUUCACACGGACCGACUUCACUCGGACCGACUUCACUCGGACUAUGUGCGCGCACCCACUCGGACGCUAUUUGGACCGUUUCAUCUGAGUAGGGUAAACUCGGAUGACAACCAAACUACUCGGACCGAGUGGCAGACUCGGUCCGAGUACCGCUUCUUCCUCUUUUCUUCUGGUCCCUCGUUCCUUUUUUUCGUCUAUUCUGAUUAUUGAUACCACUGUCCAGCUCCUUUAACCGCAUAUUAACCAUAACAUCUAUCCCUUUAAGCAGGAGAUCCACCAUUUCACCUCAGAGUACACUCGGAACAUGUAAACGAACUUAACACUCGGUCCGAGAGUACUCGGACGAGUCCAUCUCUGAGUGAACUCGAUCCGAGUAAACUCUGAUCGUGUCAACCUAGUUUAGACGAUGGACAUUCUAUGUCCACUACCGCUCAUUGUUGGAAGCAUUAUUACCAGGUGAAGGAUGUGGCAUAAUGAUUCGAUUCCCACGCCUGAAAGACCCUGAUAUUAGAUUAAAAAGUAAACCUGGAUCCGCUAGUGUGGAAGCUAAAGAAGAUCGUAGAAGCAGAGCAGUCUCACACUGGCGGAAACAGCCAAUAGUAAUAUAUUUAUUGUCAUAAGGAGAUUACAAUAAAAGGGGAAUUCAUUUUUGUAUUCCCCUUUUAUUGAAUCUAUUCAUUUCUAACUAGAAUAAAAAAGUUAUAUAAAUUAUAUUAAAUUCGAUUAUAUAACGGUGUGAAGUUGGCCCCCACUUUUGAAUUUUUGAGUUUUUUCUUUUGCACUCGUUUGCACCUCGU